GACGUAGGGCGCGAGCGUUGUCCGGAUUUAUUGGGCGUAAAGAGCUCGUAGGCGGCUUGUCGCGUCGACCGUGAAAACUUGGGGCUCAACCCCAAGCCUGCGGUCGAUACGGGCAGGCUCGAGUUCGGUAGGGGAGGCUGGAAUUCCUGGUGUAGCGGUGAAAUGCGCAGAUAUCAGGAGGAACACCGAUGGCGAAGGCAGGUCUCUGGGCCGAUACUGACGCUGAGGAGCGAAAGCGUGGGGAGCGAACAGG
rnacentral:rRNA from 1 species